AGCCUUCCGCUUAACGGAAGAACGGCAUCUGAUACUACAGGGCUUGAGUACGGGAGGGGAGAGUGGAACUUCUGGUGGAGCGGUGAAAUGCGUAGAUAUCAGAAGGAACGCCGGCGGCGAAAGCGACUCUCUGGUCCGAAACUGACGCUGAGUGUGCGAAAGCUAGGGGAGCAAACGGGAUUAGAUACCCCGGUAGUCCUAGCCGUAAACGAUGGGCACUAAGUAGAGGGGU
rnacentral:rRNA from 1 species